rnacentral:lncRNA from 1 species
UGAUAGAGUUUUUUGUAAUCCAUGAUUGAAUUUUUUGUAAUCCAUGAUCGAACUGUUUUUUUCUUUUUUUGUAAUCCACGAUUGAAUUUUUUGUUUUUUUUUGUUUGUUUUUUUUUGUAAUCCAUGAUCGAAUUUUAUGUAAUCCAUGAUCGAAUUUUAUGUAAUCCAUGAUUGAAUUUUUUGAAAAUUUGUGAUUUUUUUUUUUUAAUCCAUGAUCGAUUUUUUUUUUGUAAUCCAUGAUAGAAUUUUUUGAAAAUUUGUGAUUUUUUUUUUAAUCCAUGAUCGAUUUUUUUGAAAAUUUGUUAUUUUUUUUUAAUCC